rnacentral:rRNA from 1 species
AUCAACGCUGGCGGCGUGCCUAACACAUGCAAGUCGUACGAGAAAGUGGAGCAAUCCAUGAGUAAAGUGGCGACCGGGUGAGUAACACGUGACUACCUACCUUCUAGUGGGGGAUAACUCCGGGAAACCGGAGCUAAUAUCGCAUAACAUCGCAAGAUCAAAGCAGCAAUGCGCUGGAAGAGGGGGUCGCGCCUGAUUAGCUAGUUGGUAAGGGUAACGGCUUACCAAGGCGAAGAUCAGUAGCCGGCCUGAGAGGGCGCACGGCCACACUGGAACUGAAACACGGUCCAGACUCCUACGGGAUGGCAGCAGUGGGGAACUUUGCGCAAUGGGGGAAACCCUGACGCAGCAACGCCGCGUGGAGGAUGAAGUCCUUUGGGACGUAAACUCCUUUCGACCAAGACGAUGAUGACGGUACUGGUGGAAGAAGCACCGGCUAACUCUGUGCCAGCAGCCGCGGUAAUACAGAGGGUGCGAGCGUUGUUCGGAAUUAUUGGGCGUAAAGGGCGCGUAGGCGGCGCCACAAGUCACCUGUGAAAUCUCCCGGCUCAACUGGGAGCUUGCAGGCGAAACUGUGGUGCUGGAGUAUGGGAGAGGUGCGUGGAAUUCCCGGUGUGUAGCGGUGAAAUGCGUAGAUAUCGGGAGGAACACCUGUGGCGAAAGCGGCGCACUGGACCAUAACUGACGCUGAGGCGCGAAAGCUAGGGGAGCAAACAGGAUUAGAUACCCUGGUAGUCCUAGCCCUAAACUAUGGAUGCUUGGUGUAGCAGGUACCCAAUCCUGCCGUGCCGAAGCUAACGCGAUAAGCAUCCCGCCUGGGGAGUACGGUCGCAAGACUGAAACUCAAAGGAAUUGACGGGGGCCCGCACAAGCGGUGGAGCAUGUGGUUCAAUUCGACGCAACGCGAAGAACCUUACCUGGGCUCGAAAUGUAGGAGACUGGGGUAGAAAUAUCCCUUUCCGCAAGGACCCCUAUAUAGGUGCUGCAUGGCUGUCGUCAGCUCGUGUCGUGAGAUGUUGGGUUAAGUCCCGCAACGAGCGCAACCCUUAUCUCUAGUUGCCAUCGGGUCAAGCCGGGCACUCUAGCGAAACCGCGUAGGAUAACUACGAGGAAGGUGGGGAUGACGUCAAGUCCUCAUGGCCUUUAUGUCCAGGGCUACACACGUGCUACAAUGGUCGGUACAAAACGUCGCAAACCCGUGAGGGGGAGCUAAUCGGAAAAAAGCCGGCCUCAGUUCGGAUUGGAGUCUGCAAUUCGACUCCAUGAAGCUGGAAUCGCUAGUAAUCGCAGAUCAGAACGCUGCGGUGAAUACGUUCCCGGGCCUUGUACACACCGCCCGUCACAUCACGAAAGUGGACUGCACUAGAAGUCGGCGUGCUAACCGCAAGGAGGCAGCCGCCCAAGGUAUGGUUCAUGAUUGGGGUG